UAACACGUUCCCGGCAGGUGGAAGAGU
rnacentral:sRNA from 1 species